rnacentral:lncRNA from 1 species
AGCGUCGAUGCAGGGAAAUUGGUGGAUACAUUGUAAAAGUCGAUAAUUCUUCCAAAAAUACGUGGAUUUAUGAUAACAAACCAAAAAGUACGUGUAUGACAUUAACUUUUAAUAAGUUGUAUUGAUGUAGGUAAUGUUAAAUUUAUAUUUUACUAAAAUAUGACAAAAGUAAUAAUAAAGGUAGUCAAAGUAAAGGAAAUUCUCCAUUGAGGUAAAUGAAGUGUAACUUUUCCAUUAUAUUUAUAUACCAUUAUCAAAACAUGAAUAGACUUUGUCCAUGUUUAUUUCGUAGAAAAUGAUUAUUACUGGAUCGGAUUGACAGAUCUGAAGGAAGGAGAUUGGCGUUGGACCUUUGACCAGUCACGUGUCACAUAUAAACCAUGGUUAAGUGCUUAUGGUGCCAGAGGAACUACAUACAACUGCGGUGAUUUGACUCAUGCAUCAAGUCAGAAGAAAACUUGGUUUGAUGAAGAUUGCUCGGUAAAGUAUCACUACAUCUGCGAAAGUAACUUUUGUAAGUUUACAUGUUGAAUCACUUACUACAUGUUUUAUAUAGAAAAAAAUCAUUUCAAAAAUAAAAAAUCCCAAAAGAUAUAUAAAUUAUAUUUGGAACACAAAUAAUGAAAUUACCAAGAUAAAAAUACGUUUAGUUUUCAAGGUUAUAAACACUAAAGAAAACUAAAGACUGAGGUACAAAAAUUCCACCGAAACAAAAGCCUGAUGGAAGGUUAAUACCAGUGCUUCGGAAAGGCAAUUAGUUAUCAUUCUGAAGAUAACAAUGGCGUUUCUCAUAACAGUAAGAUUUCUAAAAUAAGUCGUAUUCAGUUCCGAAAACAAAUAAGGCUGAAUGGGACGGGAUUGGACUAUCAACGCAUAUUCAUAUAUGUAGUCUCUUAUAACAUGUAUAACGCAAAUAUUAUUACAUGGUCAACCAAAUCAUGAUGGCGUCAAUAAAAUAUUGUUUUUUACAACUUCUUCAUUAAGAAUUCCUUGUCCAAAAUCUUCAUUUCAAUGUUGAAAAAGUAAGUUAAAAUGUGACCUACCGAAUUAGACUAUUAACUGGCUUAUGUAUUAACAUGAGCAACACGACGGGUGCCACAUGUGGAGCAGGAUCUGCGUAUCCUUCCGGAGCACUUGAGAUCCCCCCAACCGAUUGUGCAAGGGCUGUAUAAAACUUACAUAUAUAUAUAUAUAUAUAUAUACCAACCCCAGUUUUUGGUUUGGUUCGUGUUGCAUUUUACCUAUUGUGUUUAAUUUGCUCACACAUCGUUGUCAAUAUAAUGAAAUUUGAUGCGACUGUCAUACAAGUGAGAUGUUUAGCGCCUUAAAACUGGGUUCAAACCACAGUUUUCCACAUAAGAAAAUGCGUGUACCAAGUCAGGAAUAUUGUCAGUUGUUUCCAUUCGUUUGAUGUGUUUGUGCUUUUGAUUUUGCCAUUUGAUAAUGGACUUAUUUGAAUUUUCCUCGGAAUUCAGUAUUAUGUAGAUUUUAAUUUGGGAGCUUGUAAAGUUUUUAUAUUUAUAUUGUUAGUUAGCCAUUGCGUUUAAACGUUCGUAAUAGGAACUCAUAAAUCUUAAAAAAGAAAAAAAAGGCAUUGAAAGCCGUAAGGUGACCUAUAGUUGUUAAGGUAGAUUCAUGGUAUACCGCCAUCUUGGAUUGCCACAAGCAAGUAAAAUCGGUUCCAAUUUUUGCCUAAAUCUGCAAUUUUGGAGACAGAUUUGCAAUUCAAUGGUUAGACUGUUUUUUUAUUAUUGAAGACAAAUUGUAAUUAAUCGUAUUAUUCAAAAUAUUUAAUAAAAUAUCAUUUUUUGGUAUAAAAAAUUAUUUUUUCAAAUGAGCCAUUUAGGGGAAAUACUCUUUUAGUACAAAAUUUAUACUGGGCUAAUAGGGAAUUUUUUUAUUUUUACUUGUAGCAAAACAAUUGGUGACACCAUGUUUCUUUUUAUUUUCUUAAACAUAUUAUAACUUUCUCUCACAAUUUAUUUCAAAUUCUAUCUCAUAGAAUUUUUUUUAUGCACACUAAUGUGUUUUUUCAUGACUAACCAAAUUUGGCAAUUCAACGACAUACAAAAAUAGACGGUGACCCAUACUUUUUAUAAAUUUUUUGAAAAGAGCAAAUAAAAUCUUCAUUUUGGCAAAUUAUGAAAAAAUUCUGUCUCAAAAAAUAUAUACUUGUGAUCUACCUCAAUUUCUGUGUCAUUUUGGUGUUUUGUGAGAGUUGUCUUAUUUGCAAUUAUACCACAGCUUCUUAUUUAUAUUCAGCAGAAUUCACCGAGUCAAGGAUAUAAUUAUAUAUAUUUGUAAUAUUAAUUAUUUCUAUAUACUAUCAUCAUGCAUUUUUGUACACUUGAGUCAAUUGUUUUCUGCAUGUUGUUAUGUAAAUGCAUUCGUAAGAAAUAAAAUGUUUUUGUUUUACGUUCUCUAGGUUUUUAAAGAUUGGAAAACAACGAUGUAGAUGUCAUUUCUAGUCUGAUUAAAAU